rnacentral:rRNA from 1 species
UCUGGCGGCAGUAGCGCGGUGGUCCCACCUGACCCCAUGCCGAACUCAGAAGUGAAACGCCGUAGCGCCGAUGGUAGUGUGGGGUCUCCCCCAUGCGAGAGUAGGGAACUGCCAGGC